GACGAACCGUGCGAACGUUAUUCGAAAUCAUUGGCUUAAAGGGCGCGUAGGCGGCAUCGCAAGUCAGAAGGUCGGAAAUACCCCAUCGGCUCAACCGUGGAAUUGCCUCUGAGUACUGCGGAGCUUGAGGGAGGUAGGGGUCCGUGGAACUUCCGGUGGAGCGGUGAAAUGAUGUUCGAUAUCGGAGGGAACGCCAGUGGCGAAAGCGGCGGACUGGACUCGUACUUCUGACGGCUGAGUGCGCGAAAGCCAGGGGAGCGAACGGG
rnacentral:rRNA from 1 species